GUCAGGAUGGCCAAGCUGUCUAAGGCAUUGCAUUAAGGUCGCAGUCUCCAUGGGAGGUGAGGGUUCGAAUCCCUCUCCUGACA